AAAAAAAAAAAAAAAAAACUUGAGUUUUGAUUGCGUUCUCUUGAUGCUUUCAUUUUCCUUUAUUAUUAUUUUCCUUUCCUCUUGGCUAAUUAUUUGAUGAUGUAUUGUAUUUUUCGCUAUUUCUUUCUUUCUCUGUUUGGAGAUUAGAUUAUGCUCUCAAUCUACAUGGUUGGUUGCCCCAAUGAGUGAAAUAUCUUUCGAAAAGG
rnacentral:misc_RNA from 1 species